ACCUGAGGGAUAGCUCAGUAGGUAAAGCAUAAGACCAUUUAUCUCAGGGUCGAGGGUUCAGGCCCCACGUUGGGUG